rnacentral:lncRNA from 1 species
AUGCAAUCACAUACUUCCUCACGGUGGCAGGGUGCCAGGGAAAUUCCAGUGGUGUGGCAAAAGACCCAGAUCAGUGCUCUAAUAAAGCUUCUGCGGGGAGGGGUGGCUCAGUUCCAUAAAAAACAAACAAGUGCUUUGAAGGGCACAAGCCUAGGACUCAACGCAGAACCAGAUGAUCUCAAGCUGAAGACAAGUCAGGCCCUAAACAUGGGUGGGAAACGUGGUUUAGAGAGCAGAAAAGCCUAUACAGAAGGAUGA